AAAUCCACUAGCGGUGAAUUUGACCCGGGAGUUUUACGGACUUCGGUCGGUUUAAAUCCGAGACGAAGAACCGCCGCGCCCGGUGAACGCGUCGCGCCUUCGGUUCCAGCGAGAAUUCGUUGGUUUUUUUCCGCGUUAAAUCAGCAACGGUUUUUCACACGCGCCGUGUCUGAUUGAAGAUCCGGAUUUCCCUGCCACCCGGCAGUGUUUCCACUUUGUUUUCUAGAGUCUCGACGGUUUUUACCGUCAACGAAUAUACUUUGAGAAAAACCUAUGACCGACGAAAUCACGAUAUAAUACGCGGGUUUUAUUAUUCGCCGUUGUCCGGGUCGCGGGUACACGACUAC